GUUGUUCCCAGCAUCCCCCACCCCCAAUGGCCACGCUGGCGACCUAGAUGGGCCGGACGACUCCCAACGCAGACAUCAUCCCCGUGGCAGCCCCCAAAGCAAGCCCUAGCUCCACCAGUCAGCAGAAAGAAUCACUACGAGCUUCUGCCUCCGAACCUCGGAAAAGGCGGGAAACCGCUCCACCUCAGCGGCCAGCCAGGAAGGACCCGGUGCUCGACGGUUUAACGGCUAAAUAACGGUCGCUCGUGACGGUUUGCCAGGUUCCCGACUCUCGCGAGACUUUCCUCGACGCGGUCACAAUCGCUUCUUCGCACGGGUUCUGUUUCUCUUUAGCGUCAAUGUUCCGUAAGCGUCUGCUGUCGUCGGAGAAUGCAAGGAAGGCUAGCCAGGACUACGAUUGGUUGGAGGGGAGAGUUAAAAAAAAAAAAAAAAAAAUAGAAAAAAAAGAAAAACAUUUCUGGUGUCCAAGAGUUCAAUCUUAGGGAGGACAGUGUUGGGCAGAAGAUGAUAGCCAGGUUUUGUGAUCACUUAAAGAAGCUGAUGAAAGACAUUGUUUCUGACUGUAAAGUUGGGCCCCAUGAAGGAACAUCACUUCAGUUUUUGAUCCUUUGCGUAAUGCAGUCUGGUCCUCAAUUGUCAAAUUUUCAAAUCCUUGAAGAAAAGAUCACAUAGUUGUUUGAAAUCAAUAAUGAAAAGAAAAUGUUCAGGUGUAUGAUUUAAUAUUUUUAAUUAUUCAUUUAGUUAUAAUAGAAUCCUAUAUGUUUCCCUAGAAUAAUCACUAUUUGUAACUUCAAAUCUGAACAAAAUUCUUGAUUCCACGUGGUAGUAUUUUGGAGCACUUUCAUCAGAACUUGUAAUACUUUAAUAUGAGAUUUAAUAAGAGCAAAUGAAACACAGUUUAGCCUCAAAGAAUUUAUUUUUACAGUGAGUUAUCUACAUGUAAAUAGUUCUAUUUUGGCCAACUGUAGCUUUAUUUUUUCAUAUUGUACAGGCAAUUUUAUUUCAUAUUUUAUAUAAAAAACAAAAAGUUUAUUUCGAAACAUUAAAAGAUAACAAUCAUCAUUUGUCUUGCUCUACAUCUUUAGGGUCAUUUAAUAUUUUUAAAUAUUUAUAUUUUCAACCACCUGAUUGUUUUUGCUUUGUUUUGUUUUUAGAGAGAGAGAGUGCAGAAGAGGAGGGAGGCGCAGAGGUAGAGGGAUAGUAGGGCUAGAACUCACGAUCUGAGAUCAUGACCUGAGCGGAAAUCAAGAGUGGGAUGCUUAACCAACUGAGCCACAAAAGCACCACCCCCACACCUGAUUAUUUAAAGCAGACAAAAUGAAUAUGUUUUUGCAUUUGGAAGCAGAUUUGGUAGAAAAAUAGAGGUUUUUGUUUUCCUAAAAUGUCCCGGUUCUUUAAAACAGGGAACUUCUUUGCGGGGGCAGCCCGGGUGGCUCAGCGGUUUAGUGCCGCCUUCAGCCCAGGGUGUGAUCCUCGAGACCCGGGAUCGAGUCCUGAGUCGGGCUCCCUACAUGGAGCCUGCUUCUCCCUCUGCCU